CUACCGUCAAGGACCCAGAAGAGUUUCCCUCCAACCAGGAGGCCAAUCACAGCGCAACACGUGUCGACAUCAGAAGCCAAUCAUAAUGCGACACGUGUUAACAUCAGAAGCCAAUCACAACACGACACAUGUCGAUGUCAGAAUGAAACUAGAAACUCUCUUCUAUAAAUAGAGAUCAUUCUCUCACAAUAUUUCCUAAUGUCAUUUGUACUAAAUCAUUCACUAGUACUCACUAAAUGAGAGCUUGAACCUAUGUACUUGUGUAAACCCUUCAUAAUUAAUGAGAACUCCUCUACUCCGUGGACGUAGCCAAUCUGGGUGAACCACGUACAUCUUGUGUUUGCUUCCCUAUCCCUAUCCAUAUACAUACUUAUCCAUACUAGUGACUGAAGCAAUCUAGCGAAGGUCACAAACUUAACACUUUCUGUUGUACCAAAGUCCCCACUGAUUUUGGGCAUCAACAUAAGUCAUAAGUAAUUGGAAAAACUACGCAAGAUUGUUAAGGUGGCAACGGAACCCUAGUGCUUAAAUUGAUUUUCAAAACCGUAUUCUUUUGAUUUCUUUACUUUGUUGAUUUCUUUAAUUAUUUUUAUUUAAAUUCUUUUUUAUUAUUUUAAGUUACAAAAUCAACCUUUUCCAAACUUUGUUUUAAGUAGUUAAUUAAGAAUUGGGUUAAAUACAAAUUAUUCAUUCAAUCUUUGUGGAGAACAACCUUACUAGAGCCGACUAUACUACAAUUACCUUGUACUCUUGCAAGUAUUUUAGAUGUUUUUAUCACUACUUUUCCAUGUGAUAAAAAUCCUAUUACCAAAUCUAUCGUUUGACAAAAAAAAAAUGAAAAACUGUAAAAACUAAUCAAAUUUGGACAUGUUAACGAUUAUCAGUUUAAUUUUUUUUUAUUAUUUUAACAACUUGAGGAGCAAUUUGAUAAGGGUUCGAGUACUACUUAGGAACUGGUCGAGUUGGCCUUAAGUAAUUUUGUUUAGAAAUCUUAUAAGAUAGUCUGACUAUGAACAAUAUGUAAAUAUCAUUGUAACAAAAUUAUUGACAUGUGUUGAGGCCAAAAAAUGUAACGUGCAAGCCCAAUCGAGUCUUGAAACCAAUUAUCAUACAAGCCUCAAGUCAAGCUCGAAUACAUGCAAAGGGUGCGAAAUCGAGAAGGAGGUAUGUUCGUAAUCAUGCCAUGCUAUGUUAAUCAAGCCCCACAUUUGUGUAAAUCACACCAUGCUCGUGAGAACUCAUGCAUAUUCGUCACACCAAACUUUAUCACACAAAUCACUAUUCAUGCUAAGAUAAGCCCAAGCCACAUGCCCGGGGCUUGUCAAGUGAAUUGUGGUGUAGAUGGUUAUGAAAGUUCAUUGGGCCUACGUGGAGCCAAGAUUGUGGAAAACUUUGGGUUGCUUGGGAGCCCAAAGUCCAAGCCUAUAACCUUUGUAUUCCACAUGGAUAAGUUUGAGAGAGAACCAGCCUAGUUUCCUUCUUUCCCUAGCAAUCUAACCAACUUAGUUAGGAAGGAACCAAGCCCUGACCU
rnacentral:lncRNA from 1 species